CGGAUGCAACUUUCUCAGCAACUGUGGCAGCUGUGCCUGGGAUGUGGGAUGUGUAGAGGGCGACACUAUCUACACUGUGCGCUGCUUAGCGCGGAAACCCCUACUUAGGAGGAUAGCAACAUGGAAGUGGAUUAAAGGAGGUUCUCGAAUAUUCUCCCCUUGGACUGAUCCCGGGAAGGCAAAUGGCGAGGACAAAGAAGUAAGACAAUACAGGAAGGACAAAGGAGAAAAUAAGUGAGACCUGAAACAUGACUAGAAGGCACUUCUUCAGACAAGUGCAGGCGGCGAUGAUGUUGUUAGAAAAGACGAGACUUUGCGGCGCUGUCGAUGCUUGUCACUGGUACAAAAGGCAUGUUAAUAUACCACAAGAAUGUUUGGGUGGUGCAGAGGAGUUGAAAAAGAGAAGACGGAUGGAUUAAUGGAUGGAUUGGAGCUUCUCCUUUAGCGAUGUAAAAGGGAGAUAAGCCUGUUACAUAAGCGUACUAUUAUUUCCUUAUUUGGACCCAAAAACCGUUUAAAUGGAACAAAGAGGUGGAAAGCAAAUAAGAAGAGGAAUCUGCAAGUCAUCUGCUUGAAGCAUUUAGUCUUGGAGAUAGAUGUAGACAUGUUCAUUAAAAGUUGAAAUUGAUGAUGGAGAUGUGGAACUUGAAGAUGUGGAAAAUGACGAAUAAGAUCCGAACAGCAGCAGCAGCAGCAGCAGCAGCAGCAUCCUCAUCGUCAUCCUCAUCGUCAUCAUCAUCGUCAACAGAUAUUUCAUGUUGUCGUGAUUGAACCUUCAUUUAACACGCUGUAGGAAAAACACAUUUCAUACGCGUUAACAAGCAACUGCGUGUUGAAGUAACACAGGUAUGUUGUAAAAGUGAUUAUUGUUGAAAGUAUUGUCUAGCUGUACCAUAUAUUAUGAGUAUGUUGACCAGCUCAACAUCUACAGAUUAGCUUGACUACACACUGAUGUACACGCCUACUGACAUCACUUUUUAUCACAGAUAAUGUAGGUUGGUAGCCGCAGGAGAAGUGUGUAAAGUUUGAGUAGAAAUGUGAGUGUAAAUAAUGUAUUUUUGUGUAAGAAAGAGUUUAUGUGCCAUUAAAUAGAGUACUCAUUAUGUCGUGAGAAUUGCAGGAAUUAACUAGGGGGAGAGUUGGAGCUGAGAGGACAACACCCUGUCUACAGAACAUCACUUCCAAGGGAACCCAAGUGUUUACACACUUAUAGUGGACGUAGCCUCACCUACAGAAGAAUCCGAGGUUCUAAUGUUUACCUAGAACCCAGCUGAGUUCACAGAAGUUACCUGCGGGUUUUGGGAUCUUCGUCAGAUGGACUUGGGUACUUUGUCACGUGGUGCAACUGCCAGCUACCGACUGAGGGCAGUACGAACCUCUACCGCCACCCAGGGCUUCUGCUAAGGCUAAUUUCUUUGGGGUCCCAGGGACCGCUUCUUCAGAUUUUUAAGGGAUCUCAGGCUAACUCUAAGGGGUCCCUUUACAAUGUGAAAAAAAUAUCAACAAAUCAAC
rnacentral:lncRNA from 1 species